UUUGGUGCCAAGAGGUGGCACUGUUCAUUUGGAAGUUUCUUCCGGAUUUUGCCCUGCUUGGGGGGUUUUUCACGGUUGUGCCACUUGCCUAAUCUUUAACGUCGUUAUUCUCUCCACCGCCGCUGUGGAUUCUAAUUUACUACUGGCGUAAUCGUCGUCCGCAAAUCCGCACCGCUUCCUCAGUUUUGUCAUUGUUUGUUCACUUGCUUAAUUAUUUCUUUUUAUCCUUUCAUUCUCCAAUCAGAUCCAAUUAUAACGGAUUGCAUAUGUGAUCCUUGCAAUCCGUGAACCACCUCAUCCAUCAGCCGUUGGUCUCAACCUGGAGCGAAGAGAGACUGACAGUGAGAUACGACGGAAUGACAAAGAAGAUAUUGCACAUAUGCUCAGUGGCUCAAAUUUAAUAUGACACUGCCACAAAACAUACAAGUUGAGAUAUGAGGUAAACAAAAAUGGCUCCAAUCCUCCUGACUCGAGUUCCAGAGAAAUCAACAACCUUUAUGUUCUCAAACAAGUUUCGGUAUUCGAAUGUGUACUGGUAAGAGUUUGUAGUCUUGAUUUGAAUUAGGUGUUUUGGGUGCUUUUGCUUUUAUGUCUCAAUUUCUGCUAAUUUAAUUCAAUUGGGUUAUGGAUGAUAGUGGGAUAGCGUAACCCCUGAUUAUUCUGCUUCUAAUGCUAAACUUAUAUGAAGCAGUUUUUUUGGUUUGAUGAAUCCACUCUCUUAAUAUUUCUGAUCUCUGAAUUGAUCAUCUUGACAUAUCCACAUAUUCCAAUGCUCUCUAAUUUUGCAGGGUCACCAGAUUUCUCAACAACCAGGGAAUGAAUUCCUCUGCUUCUUUCCCUCUCUUCUUUUACUCUGUGUUUGAUAAUUUCUGAGUCUGACUUAUUUACAGACUUAGGAUUUUGGGUAUAAAUUCAUUUUCUAACAUGUCACUAUUGAGGUCUAUUGCUUCUGUAUCUCUGGUGAGUUAGCUCUAUUGAUUGAUGAUUACUGAUUCACUGUAAUCCUUUUUUGUCAGGUGGUUAUGGAUAUGUUUACAAGAUUCAGAGGAAGACUGAGGGAAAGGUUUGUGAUUGAAGGCAUAUUGUGGGUUUGGUUGGUCCUCCUGGAGCUGGAAAGAGUACUCUUGCAUCCGAAGUAGUAAGGCGUGUGAACAACUUAUGGCCCCAGAAAGCUUCAGCAUUGGAUUCCCAGUCACUCCUCUAGAGGUGGCCACAGUUCUUCCCAUGGAUGGGUACCAUUUUUACCGUUCUCAGCUGGAUGCAAUGGAGGACAGACCACCAUUCUUUAGGUAAACUGUGCAAGGGCUCAACCCCUGUGACACCUGACUACAUGUGACGAAUUGCAGUAUAUAGUCCCCAUUCUUUAUUCUUGUAUUUUGUUGUAUUAUCCUUAACAGUACAUUGAAUUGCUUUGUGUUUUUCAUUUGCAGAAUGGUGUUGGGUGGUCAAAAGUCAGCAGUGUACCAGUUCAUAAAUAGUUUAGAGUUAUGCAUAUAGAGUUAUUUUGUGGUCUCUACUUGUACAUAGUUGUGACUUGAGAGUAUUUCAUUAAUAUAUAAACAUAUUCUAGUGUAUUACUAAAAACUAAAAGGCCUAGAAAGGUUUAUUUAUAUACCA